GGGGCUGUAGCUCAGUGGUAGAGCGCCUGCCUCACGUGUGAGGAACUAGGUUCGAUCCUCAGCACCA
rnacentral:tRNA from 1 species